rnacentral:rRNA from 1 species
CCUACGGGCGGCUGCAGUAGGGAAUAUUGCACAAUGGGCGCAAGCCUGAUGCAGCCAUGCCGCGUGUGUGAAGAAGGCCUUCGGAUUGUAAAGCACUUUCAGCGGGGAGGAAGGCGGUGAGGUUAAUAACCUCAUCGAUUGACGGUACCCGCAGAAGAAGCACCGGCUAACUCCGUGCCAGCAGCCGCGGUAAUACGGAGGGUGCAAGCGUUAAUCGGAAUUACUGGGCGUAAAGCGCACGCAGGCGGUCCGUCAAGUCGGAUGUGAAAUCCCCGGGCUCAACCUGGGAACUGCAUUCGAAACUGGCAGGCUAGAGUCUUGUAGAGGGGGGUAGAAUUCCAGGUGUAGCGGUGAAAUGCGUAGAGAUCUGGAGGAAUACCGGUGGCGAAGGCGGCCCCCUGGACAAAGACUGACGCUCAGGUGCGAAAGCGUGGGGAGCAAACAGGAUUAGAUACCCGUGUAGUC